rnacentral:rRNA from 1 species
CACGUAGGGGGCGAGCGUUGUCCGGAAUUAUUGGGCGUAAAGAGCUCGUAGGCGGUUUAGUAAGUCAGAUGUGAAAGGUUGGGGCUCAACCCUAAGACUGCAUCCGAUACUGCUAUGACUGGAGUCCGGUAGAGGAGUGUGGAAUUCCUGGUGUAGCGGUGAAAUGCGCAGAUAUCAGGAGGAACACCGACGGCGAAGGCAGCACUCUGGGCCGGUACUGACGCUGAGGAGCGAAAGCGUGGGUAGCAAACAGG